rnacentral:rRNA from 1 species
CGUAGGGUGCGAGCGUUGUCCGGAAUUAUUGGGCGUAAAGAGCUCGUAGGCGGCCUGUUGCGUCCGCUGUGAAAGCCCGGGGCUUAACCCCGGGUCUGCAGUGGAUACGGGCAGGCUAGAGUUCGGCAGGGGAGACUGGAAUUCCUGGUGUAGCGGUGAAAUGCGCAGAUAUCAGGAGGAACACCGGUGGCGAAGGCGGGUCUCUGGGCCGAUACUGACGCUGAGGAGCGAAAGCGUGGGGAGCGAACAGGAUUAGAUACCCUGGUAGUCCACGCCGUAAACGUUGGGCGCUAGGUGUGGGGUCCCUUCCACGGGUUCCGUGCCGUAGCUAACGCAUUAAGCGCCCCGCCUGGGGAGUACGGCCGCAAGGCUA